rnacentral:tRNA from 1 species
GGGCGAUUAGCUCAGUCGGUCAGAGCGCUUCUCUGAUAAGGAAGAGGUCCCUGGUUCGAGUCCAGGAUCGCCCA